ACGAACGCUGGCGGCGUGCUUAACACAUGCAAGUCGAACGGAAAGGCCCUGCUUUUGUGGGGUGCUCGAGUGGCGAACGGGUGAGUAACACGUGAGUAACCUGCCCUUGACUUUGGGAUAACUUCAGGAAACUGGGGCUAAUACCGGAUAGGAGCUCCUGCUGCAUGGUGGGGGUUGGAAAGUUUCGGCGGUUGGGGAUGGACUCGCGGCUUAUCAGCUUGUUGGUGGGGUAGUGGCUUACCAAGGCUUUGACGGGUAGCCGGCCCGAGAGGGUGACCGGCCACAUUGGGACUGAGAUACGGCCCAGACUCCUACGGGAGGCAGCAGUGGGGAAUAUUGCACAAUGGGCGGAAGCCUGAUGCAGCAACGCCGCGUGCGGGAUGACGGCCUUCGGGUUGUAAACCGCUUUCGCCUGUGACGAAGCGUGAGUGACGGUAAUGGGUAAAGAAGCACCGGCUAACUACGU
rnacentral:rRNA from 1 species